AUUGAACGCUGGCGGCAUGCCUUACACAUGCAAGUCGAACGGCAGCACGGGAGCAAUCCUGGUGGCGAGUGGCGAACGGGUGAGUAAAGUAUCGGAACGUGCCCAGUCGUGGGGGCUAACGUAGCGAAAGUUACGCUAAUACCGCAUACGACCUAUGGAUGAAAGCGGGGGAUCGCAAGACCUCGCGCGCUUGGAGCGGCCGAUAUCAGAUUAGGUAGUUGGUGGGGUAAAGGCUCACCAAGCCGACGAUCUGUAGCUGGUCUGAGAGGACGACCAGCCACACUGGAACUGAGACACGGCCCAGACUCCUACGGGAGGCAGCAGUGGGGAAUUUUGGACAAUGGGCGCAAGCCUGAUCCAGCCAUGCCGCGUGCAGGAUGAAGGCCUUCGGGUUGUAAACUGCUUUUGUACGGAACGAAAAGGUUUGACUUAAUACGUUGGACUCAUGACGGUACCGUAAGAAUAAGCACCGGCUAACUACGUGCCAGCAGCCGCGGUAA
rnacentral:rRNA from 1 species